rnacentral:rRNA from 1 species
GGGUUGUGAGGUUAAGCGACUAAGCGUACACGGUGGAUGCCCUGGCAGUCAGAGGCGAUGAAGGACGUGCUAAUCUGCGAUAAGCGUCGGUAAGGUGAUAUGAACCGUUAUAACCGGCGAUUUCCGAAUGGGGAAACCCAGUGUGUUUCGACACACUAUCAUUAACUGAAUCCAUAGGUUAAUGAGGCGAACCGGGGGAACUGAAACAUCUAAGUACCCCGAGGAAAAGAAAUCAACCGAGAUUCCCCCAGUAGCGGCGAGCGAACGGGGAGCAGCCCAGAGCCUGAAUCAGUGUGUGUGUUAGUGGAAGCGUCUGGAAAGGCGUGCGAUACAGGGUGACAGCCCCGUACACAAAAAUGCACAUGCUGUGAGCUCGAUGAGUAGGGCGGGACACGUGGUAUCCUGUCUGAAUAUGGGGGGACCAUCCUCCAAGGCUAAAUACUCCUGACUGACCGAUAGUGAACCAGUACCGUGAGGGAAAGGCGAAAAGAACCCCGGCGAGGGGAGUGAAAAAGAACCUGAAACCGUGUACGUACAAGCAGUGGGAGCACGCUUAGGCGUGUGACUGCGUACCUUUUGUAUAAUGGGUCAGCGACUUAUAUUCUGUAGCAAGGUUAACCGAAUAGGGGAGCCGAAGGGAAACCGAGUCUUAACUGGGCGUUAAGUUGCAGGGUAUAGACCCGAAACCCGGUGAUCUAGCCAUGGGCAGGUUGAAGGUUGGGUAACACUAACUGGAGGACCGAACCGACUAAUGUUGAAAAAUUAGCGGAUGACUUGUGGCUGGGGGUGAAAGGCCAAUCAAACCGGGAGAUAGCUGGUUCUCCCCGAAAGCUAUUUAGGUAGCGCCUCGUGAAUUCAUCUCCGGGGGUAGAGCACUGUUUCGGCAAGGGGGUCAUCCCGACUUACCAACCCGAUGCAAACUGCGAAUACCGGAGAAUGUUAUCACGGGAGACACACGGCGGGUGCUAACGUCCGUCGUGAAGAGGGAAACAACCCAGACCGCCAGCUAAGGUCCCAAAGUCAUGGUUAAGUGGGAAACGAUGUGGGAAGGCCCAGACAGCCAGGAUGUUGGCUUAGAAGCAGCCAUCAUUUAAAGAAAGCGUAAUAGCUCACUGGUCGAGUCGGCCUGCGCGGAAGAUGUAACGGGGCUAAACCAUGCACCGAAGCUGCGGCAGCGACGCUUAUGCGUUGUUGGGUAGGGGAGCGUUCUGUAAGCCUGUGAAGGUGUACUGUGAGGUAUGCUGGAGGUAUCAGAAGUGCGAAUGCUGACAUAAGUAACGAUAAAGCGGGUGAAAAGCCCGCUCGCCGGAAGACCAAGGGUUCCUGUCCAACGUUAAUCGGGGCAGGGUGAGUCGACCCCUAAGGCGAGGCCGAAAGGCGUAGUCGAUGGGAAACAGGUUAAUAUUCCUGUACUUGGUGUUACUGCGAAGGGGGGACGGAGAAGGCUAUGUUGGCCGGGCGACGGUUGUCCCGGUUUAAGCGUGUAGGCUGGUUUUCCAGGCAAAUCCGGAAAAUCAAGGCUGAGGCGUGAUGACGAGGCACUACGGUGCUGAAGCAACAAAUGCCCUGCUUCCAGGAAAAGCCUCUAAGCAUCAGGUAACAUCAAAUCGUACCCCAAACCGACACAGGUGGUCAGGUAGAGAAUACCAAGGCGCUUGAGAGAACUCGGGUGAAGGAACUAGGCAAAAUGGUGCCGUAACUUCGGGAGAAGGCACGCUGAUAUGUAGGUGAAGUCCCUCGCGGAUGGAGCUGAAAUCAGUCGAAGAUACCAGCUGGCUGCAACUGUUUAUUAAAAACACAGCACUGUGCAAACACGAAAGUGGACGUAUACGGUGUGACGCCUGCCCGGUGCCGGAAGGUUAAUUGAUGGGGUUAGCCGCAAGGCGAAGCUCUUGAUCGAAGCCCCGGUAAACGGCGGCCGUAACUAUAACGGUCCUAAGGUAGCGAAAUUCCUUGUCGGGUAAGUUCCGACCUGCACGAAUGGCGUAAUGAUGGCCAGGCUGUCUCCACCCGAGACUCAGUGAAAUUGAACUCGCUGUGAAGAUGCAGUGUACCCGCGGCAAGACGGAAAGACCCCGUGAACCUUUACUAUAGCUUGACACUGAACAUUGAGCCUUGAUGUGUAGGAUAGGUGGGAGGCUUUGAAGUGUGGACGCCAGUCUGCAUGGAGCCGACCUUGAAAUACCACCCUUUAAUGUUUGAUGUUCUAACGUUGACCCGUAAUCCGGGUUGCGGACAGUGUCUGGUGGGUAGUUUGACUGGGGCGGUCUCCUCCUAAAGAGUAACGGAGGAGCACGAAGGUUGGCUAAUCCUGGUCGGACAUCAGGAGGUUAGUGCAAUGGCAUAAGCCAGCUUGACUGCGAGCGUGACGGCGCGAGCAGGUGCGAAAGCAGGUCAUAGUGAUCCGGUGGUUCUGAAUGGAAGGGCCAUCGCUCAACGGAUAAAAGGUACUCCGGGGAUAACAGGCUGAUACCGCCCAAGAGUUCAUAUCGACGGCGGUGUUUGGCACCUCGAUGUCGGCUCAUCACAUCCUGGGGCUGAAGUAGGUCCCAAGGGUAUGGCUGUUCGCCAUUUAAAGUGGUACGCGAGCUGGGUUUAGAACGUCGUGAGACAGUUCGGUCCCUAUCUGCCGUGGGCGCUGGAGAACUGAGGGGGGCUGCUCCUAGUACGAGAGGACCGGAGUGGACGCAUCACUGGUGUUCGGGUUGUCAUGCCAAUGGCACUGCCCGGUAGCUAAAUGCGGAAGAGAUAAGUGCUGAAAGCAUCUAAGCACGAAACUUGCCCCGAGAUGAGUUCUCCCUGAC